UACGGAGGGGGCUAGCGUUGUUCGGAAUUACUGGGCGUAAGGCGCACGUAGGCGGCUUUGCAAGUCAGAGGUGAAAUCCCUGGGCUCAACCCAGGAAGUGCACUCGAAACUGGAGGGCUAGAGUAUCGGAGAGGUUGGUGGAAUUCUCGGUGUAGAGGUGAAAUUCGUAGAUAUCGAGAGGAACACCGGUGGCGAAGGCGGCCAACUGGACGAAUACUGACGCUGAGACACGAAAGCGUGGGGAGCAAACAGG
rnacentral:rRNA from 1 species